CACCGGCGGCCCGAGUGGUGGCCACUAUUAUUGGGUCUAAAGGGUCCGUAGCCGGUUUGGUCAGUCUUCCGGGGAAUCUGACGGCUCAACCGUUAGGCUUUCGGGGGAUACUACCAGGCUUGGGACCGGGAGAGGUAAGAGGUACUACGGGGGUAGGAGUGAAAUCUUGUAAUCCCUGUGGGACCACCAGUGGCGAAGGCGUCUUACCAGAACGGGUCCGACGGUGAGGGACGAAAGCUGGGGGCACGAACCGG
rnacentral:rRNA from 1 species